CGCGGGUGUUGUAAACUGUCAGGAGGCUGUGCCAAGUCAUCAGAGAGAAGGACCCCUUCUUCCCAACCAAGGUGCAUGACCCAGUGUAUUUCAUUGGGAUAGAGAAGCACAAGCUCCUUGGCAGUGGCCUCAAAGGAAGUCUCUCUCCUCCAGGGAUCAUCAGCUUGCCUAUUAUUAACCUUUUGGGGUCAGAGACGGCACCUCAUGCAUCCACCCUCCUCUCCUUCUGACAAGAUAACACUUGGCUUUGGUUCAGUUUCUUUCUCCCAUCUUUCCCUUCUCUGUGGAGGAUAGACCCCAGAGCCCUGAGCAUGUAAGCAGGUGUCGCCCCACCAGGCUGCACUCUAACCUGGUGCGUA
rnacentral:lncRNA from 1 species